UACGUAGGGUGCAAGCGUUGUCCGGAAUUAUUGGGCGUAAAGAGCUCGUAGGCGGUUUGUCGCGUCUGCUGUGAAAACUGGGGGCUCAACCCCCAGCCUGCAGUGGGUACGGGCAGACUAGAGUGAUGUAGGGGAGACUGGAAUUCCUGGUGUAGCGGUGAAAUGCGCAGAUAUCAGGAGGAACACCGGUGGCGAAGGCGGGUCUCUGGGCAGUAACUGACGCUGAGGAACGAAAGCGUGGGUAGCGAACAGG
rnacentral:rRNA from 1 species